UACGUAGGGGGCUAGCGUUGCUCGGAAUCACUGGGCGUAAAGCGCGCGUAGGCGGCUUGUUAAGUCAGGGGUGAAAUCCUGGAGCUCAACUCCAGAACUGCCUUUGAUACUGGCGAGCUUGAGUCCGGGAGAGGUGAGUGGAACUGCGAGUGUAGAGGUGAAAUUCGUAGAUAUUCGCAAGAACACCAGUGGCGAAGGCGGCUCACUGGCCCGGUACUGACGCUGAGGUGCGAAAGCGUGGGGAGCAAACAGG
rnacentral:rRNA from 1 species